ensembl:rRNA 5S_rRNA 5S ribosomal RNA
GCUUAUGGUCAUACCACCCUGAGCAUGUCUGAUCUCAUCUGAUCUUGGAAGCUAAGCAAAGUCGGGCUUGGAUAGUACUUGGAUGGGAGAUUGCCUGGGAAUACCAGGUGCUGUAAGAU